UACGGAGGAUCCAAGCGUUAUCCGGAAUCAUUGGGUUUAAAGGGUCCGUAGGCGGGUUAAUAAGUCAGUGGUGAAAGUCUGCAGCUCAACUGUAGAACUGCCAUUGAUACUGUUGUCCUUGAGUUAUUGUGAAGUGGUUGGAAUAUGUAGUGUAGUGGUGAAAUGCAUAGAUAUUACAUAGAACACCGAUUGCGAAGGCAGAUCACUAACAAUAUACUGACGCUGAUGGACGAAAGCAUGGGGAGCAAACAGG
rnacentral:misc_RNA from 1 species